CGUGUUUCCUGGCCGGAGUUUCUUACCGUUCUCUGGAACGUAGCUCCUCACACACCCCUCCUCGAGGUGCGUAGAUAGACGAAUCCGUUCCACCUCUCCCUUCAGCCUAGUGCAAACUACUGCCCCGGGGCGGGGGCCGCAGGCGGCGGGGGUAGGAAAGCCGCGGGUGGAUGGCAGAACGGGAGAGGUGCGUGGGUGGCACUUUGACUUCAGGAGAAAGAAGCAGAAUACUGUCACUGAACUUAUAGUUAAGUGCCAGUUGAAGUAUCUAACGAAGGAAAAGUUCAUAUUCAGGUGUCAUGAUAGAGGCAUAAUUUCAAAUACAGAAUCUUUUCAAAUACAUUAUUUGUUGUGGGGCGCCCCUGCCCCCAAUAUGGUACAUCCCUCAACGCCCACGGGAAAAAUCCCGAAGCCCCACCUCUUAUUUUUAGGUCCUGCUUGGUUCUCAAAUUCUUUGCUUGACUUUUGUUUAAGCUAUUCUGUUUUUUUUAGGGUAUGGUUCUUGCAGUACUUUCACUUACAUUUUCCAUUGUAGUCCUCACAGUAACCUACAGAGGAGAAACAGGAACUGUUCUCUCAUGUUGCAGCCUACGAGUAAUUGACCCAGGUUAUCACAGUUGGUUAGAAAAAGGCUGGGACUUGAACCGAAGGCUACUGACCUAAGAUCAAUGUUAUUUUCUACAGCAUCAUAUGUAUGUGUUCUGGUUGCACUCACAUAGAAAGAGGGCUAGCCUGUCAAUCUACAUGUAGGCAUUCUUGAACUGAUGGUUAGGAAUGGACUGUCUAGAUCUUGGAAACUUCUGGGCCAAAUUAGCACUCCAGUUAUGGCAUUUGUGCCUCGCAGGAGCGAUCUGUGUCCUUGCCACCUAAAUUGUAGUAGAUGAACAAACAACAUUGACAUUACUUGGUUUCCUGUUAGAAAUGUAGAAUCUCAGGCCCCACUCGAGAUUUCCUAAAUCAAUACUUGCACUUUAACAAGACCGCCAGGAGAUUCCUAUGUUCAUCGAAGUUUGAGAUGCACUAAUUGAAAUGAAAAGCCUG
rnacentral:lncRNA from 10 species